GAACAGUCUACACUAAAACCCACAUUCAGGAAACAACUUAAAAUUCGCAAUGCAACAAUUUAAAGUUGAGGAUACAGCAUCGAGAGUUAAACUUUCAAUAUUCAAGGCAAAUACAAUAAAAUAAGAACAAGAAAAAUAAUUCUGAUACCAAAAUAACCUUUAUAUCGACGUACAAGGCUCACAUUACAGAAAAACCCAAUUUUCUCUAAGCUCUCUGGGAAAGAUGUUAACAAUGCAGUUUUUCCUGCUCACAAUGAGACUAGGAUUGAACAAAUUGUCUGCAAAAUCGGCACCAAAAUUCCAGCAGUUUUGGGGCAAAAUUUCAUUUCACUCGUAACAAUUUGAAGACACCCGUUUAAAAAAUAAUGCUUGAAUAAAAAGUUUUGGAAAUUUUCAAACAACUUACUAAUACAGAUUCUUAAACGGGGAAAUA